CAGGAACAGUCUUCAACUGCAAAGUUGCCCUUGUGAAUCUCUGACUGAAGUUCUCUUCCAGAGGGGGCCGUCCACCCAGAGAUCGAGCCUCAUGUGGUUCAUGUUGGUCUUCAACUUGCUUUGUAGCUGAGGCUGGCCUUGAACUUCUGGCCCUCCCACCUCUACAUCUGGACUGUGCUGAGCUUCCAGGCAGGUACCACUAUGCCUGGAUGGAACCCAGAGCUUUGUGUGUACUAGUCAAGUACUCUGCCAACUGGGCUGCCUUUGCAGCCUCCUGAAAAUAAACCUGAAAUGUUCCAAAA